GACGAACGCUGGCGGCGUGCUUAACACAUGCAAGUCGAACGGAAAGGCCCUGCUUUUGUGGGGUGCUCGAGUGGCGAACGGGUGAGUAACACGUGAGUAACCUACCCUUGACUUUGGGAUAACUUCAGGAAACUGGGGCUAAUACCGGAUAGGAGCUCCUGCUGCAUGGUGGGGGUUGGAAAGUUUCGGCGGUUGGGGAUGGACUCGCGGCUUAUCAGCUUGUUGGUGGGGUAGUGGCUUACCAAGGCUUUGACGGGUAGCCGGCCUAAGAGGGUGACCGGCCACAUUGGGACUGAGAUACGGCCCAGACUCCUACGGGAGGCAGCAGUGGGGAAUAUUGCACAAUGGGCGGAAGCCUGAUGCAGCAACGCCGCGUGCGGGAUGACGGCCUUCGGGUUGUAAACCGCUUUCGCCUGUGACGAAGCGUGAGUGACGGUAAUGGGUAAAGAAGCACCGGCUAACUACGUG
rnacentral:rRNA from 1 species